AGGGGCCGCAGGGGAUGGUGUUCGUCCUCGUCCGGAAUGGGCGCGGAGCAGCCGGAUGAUGAAAAGGCACCUGGCACUUGGAGGACCGAUGCAGUGGGCUGCCUGUGCGCUUGUUCUUCUGAAGGAUGGGUGGACUGAGACUCUCGGCCCCUUGAAAGCUAAAGCCGCCCUAGUUGGGCGCUCGAGGGGUGUUCCUACAUGCGAUCGAGACCUGUGUUGUGGUUCAGCUGUCGCUGUGCAUGCAGGUGACUUGUUUGACAUCGGUUUGGCAGGUGCCGAGGGAGGAGUCGUGCAGGGUGAUGGAGGACGGCGCUGUCAGCGGGUGAGUUGGUGCGUGGUGUAUCUAGAUGGAAGAUGUGGCUGCUGGCUGUACGAGCCCAUUGUGGUAAUUUUUCUUUUUGGACGCAUGCGAGGAG